rnacentral:lncRNA from 1 species
GAGAGAAGCCAGACACUUGUUUGUCUGGACUCCUAUAAAUAGGCAUAGGCUCAGCUCUCAGAUGCAUACAUGUUGAUCUUUGUAAAAUUCCAAAUUAAAAGAUAUAGACUAGAUAAUAGGUUUUUUUAAAAAAAGAUCCAACCAUAUGCUGCCUACAAGAAAUUCACUUCAGGUGUCAAGACGGAUAGAGAAAAAUACUCCACACAAACAAACCAAAAGCAGGCAGGAGGAGCUAUAUUUAUACCUUGCAAAAAAGACGUUAAGUCAA